rnacentral:rRNA from 1 species
GACGAACGCUGGCGGCGUGCUUAACACAUGCAAGUCGAACGGAAAGGCCCUGCUUUUGUGGGGUGCUCGAGUGGCGAACGGGUGAGUAACACGUGAGUAACCUGCCCUUGACUUUGGGAUAACUUCAGGAAACUGGGGCUAAUACCGGAUAGGAGCUCCUGCUGCAUGGUGGGGGUUGGAAAGUUUCGGCGGUUGGGGAUGGACUCGCGGCUUAUCAGGUUGUUGGUGGGGUAGUGGCUUACCAAGGCUUUGACGGGUAGCCGGCCUGAGAGGGUGACCGGCCCGAAGUGGACAUAAGUGCGCCCCCGACCCCCGCGGGGGGGGCGGGGGGGGUAUAUUGUCAACGGGGCCGGAGCUUGGACCCGGACCGCGGCGGGGGGGGGGACGGCCUGUGGGUUUUAAAACCCCCUCCCCCCGGAGCCAGGGUGAGGUAGAGUAAAGGGGAAAAAGCACCCCCCCCAACCCCCG